rnacentral:rRNA from 1 species
GGCAAUCUGCAAGUCGAACGAACUCUGGGUAUUGAUUGGGUGCUGCAUCAUGAUUUACAUUUGAGUGAGUGGCGAACUGGUGAGUAACACGUGGGAAACCUGCCCAGAAGCGGGGGAUAACACCUGGAAACAGAUGCUAAUACCGCAUAACAACUUGGACCGCAUGGUCCGAGUUUGAAAGAUGGCUUCGGCUAUCACUUUUGUGAUGGUCCCGCGGCGUAUUAGCUAGAUGGUGGGGUAACGGCUCACCAUGGCAAUGAUACGUAGCCGACCUGAGAGGGUAAUCGGCCACAUUGGGACUGAGACACGGCCCAAACUCCUACGGGAGGCAGCAGUAGGGAAUCUUCCACAAUGGACGAAAGUCUGAUGGAGCAACGCCGCGUGAGUGAAGAAGGGUUUCGGCUCGUAAAACUCUGUUGUUAAAGAAGAACAUAUCUGAGAGUAACUGUUCAGGUAUUGACGGUAUUUAACCAGAAAGCCACGGCUAACUACGUGCCAGCAGCCGCGGUAAUACGUAGGUGGCAAGCGUUGUCCGGAUUUAUUGGGCGUAAAGCGAGCGCAGGCGGUUUUUUAAGUCUGAUGUGAAAGCCUUCGGCUCAACCGAAGAAGUGCAUCGGAAACUGGGAAACUUGAGUGCAGAAGAGGACAGUGGAACUCCAUGUGUAGCGGUGAAAUGCGUAGAUAUAUGGAAGAACACCAGUGGCGAAGGCGGCUGUCUGGUCUGUAACUGACGCUGAGGCUCGAGAGUAUGGGUAGCAUACAGGAUUAGAUACCCUGGUAGUCCAUACCGUACACGAUGAAUGCUAAGUGUUGGAGGGUUUCCGCCCUUCAGUGCUGCAGCUAACGCAUUAAGCAUUCCGCCUGGUGAGUACGGCCGCAAGGCUGAAACUCAUAGGAAUUGACGGAGGCCCGCACAAGCGGUGGAGCAUGUGGUUUAAUUCGAAGCUACGCGAAGAACCUUACCAGGUCUUGACAUACUAUGCAUAUCUAAGAGAUUAGACGUUCCCUUCGGGGACAUGGAUACAGGUGGUGCAUGGUUGUCGUCAGCUCGUGUCGUGAGAUGUUGGGUUAAGUCCCGCAACGAGCGCAACCCUUAUUAUCAGUUGCCAGCAUUAAGUUGGGCACUCUGGUGAGACUGCCGGUGACAACCGG